rnacentral:lncRNA from 1 species
CAGCCCAGACUUAGUCAAAUUUCAACUUCGUCCGUUUUCGCUCCGUUUUCACUCGUUUUCGCUCGUUUGACCUCCGAUUCUUCUCAAAUCGAACCGAUAUUCUCCAAACAUGUUUUCGAGCGUAUUUUCAUCAUCUUUUCAUCCACGCCAAUGUCGAAUUUAGGUCACGGCCCAAAGUAGCCUUUCGGAUUUCGUUUUCACGCCUACGCGCAACGAAACGCCCGAAUGCUCCCAAACCUCACCGAACUUUACCGGAAUCUUUCAAAUGGCUUCCCAACCAAAUGUAUACCGUAACUUCAUGAUUUUAGAAGUACGGUACCUUACAAUAAGUUUAAAAUAUUUCUUACCCAGAAACUCAUUUUGAAACACUAAAUUAUGAAAACCAAGAAAACCUUUUUAAAUCUGUUUCCCACACGGAAACCUUUUUUUCUUUUAAAAACGCUACCACGAGGGGUAGAAAACUAUUAUUAACUCAUAGAACUCCGUAAACUUUAUUACAUUCAUAAAACCAUAUGAAUCCAAAUAAAAUAAACCACUGAACCAUAAAUACUGUCUAAGUCAUUUAUUAAAA